rnacentral:rRNA from 1 species
GUAGGUGGCAAGCGUUGUCCGGAAUUAUUGGGGCGUAAAGCGCGCGCAGGCGGUUCUUUAAGUCUGAUGUGAAAGCCCACGGGCUCAACCGUGGAGGGUCAUUGGAAACUGGAGAACUUGAGUACAGAAGAGGAAAGCGGAAUUCCACGUGUAGCGGUGAAAUGCGUAGAGAUGUGGAGGAACACCAGUGGCGAAGGCGGCUUUCUGGUCUGUAACUGACGCUGAGGCGCGAAAGCGUGGGGAGCAAACAGGAUUAGAUACCCUGGUAGUCCACGCCGUAAACGAUGAGUGCUAAGUGUUAGGGGGUUUCCGCCCCUUAGUGCUGCAGCUAACGCAUUAAGCACUCCGCCUGGGGAGGUACGGCCGCAAAGGCUG